GUAAGACCCAGCUGGGUGCGGGUCUGCUCCCGCAAGCUAACUCUAAGGCGGCUUUCAGUGGGGUCCUGGAGCUCGGGGGCGGCAUCUCGCGGGAUAUUCCCCACGGGGCGAAGGAGGAGUCAACACCUGUUAUCUCGUGUUAAUCCUGGGCAUGAACAUCCUAAGAAUGUUUUUAGCUCCCGCAACACGAUCCGGCAGUGGAGGGACGCUCCCUUCACCCACAUUAUACAUGAAGACACUGAGGCUCAAGGAGACUGGGAGAGACUGACCCAAGGUCAACCCAAGGCUAACUCUAACCUCACUUCAGAGCUGAGCCUCUCAGCCAAGCUGGAUGACCUCUAGCUGGAGAUGCAGGGAGAGCCCAGUAGGUCCUUUCAGAUUGGUGUGGGUGCACACACAGAGACACAAGCGCUGUACGGUCACAUAAACACACACACACACACACACACACACACACACACACACACACACCACUGCCUCUAGCUCCUUGACUCAAGUCCCAGUUACAAGCGGCAGCCAUGCUUGCUGCCUCUCAGCUUGCUUCCACCACCAGGAACCGAGCAGGGAAGGGAGUGCGGAAGGCCACCCUGAGGGCAGGGACAAAGACAGGCCGGCCAGCUUCAGGACCUGUGCAUGGAAACUCCUUAGGCAACAGAUAGCCGUGCAGACUGAGAAGGCAACUGAGCGCUUGAAAAGUCUCCUAGGAUGUCUCAGAAUGACUUUCUUGGGCCUCAGUUUCCUAUUCUGUGAGCUGACCUGUCCCCAAGCUGGACCUGAAGCUUAUUUGUGGGAAACUUCUUCGGGUCAGUUAAAUGCCUACCCUCCCUGCCUUCUUGUGAAGUUCUUCCUGGAUCUUUGCUGCCGAAGCAGAGACAAGGCUCUCUUAAGAGCUUGCCUGCAGCCAAAUGUUAGAAAUGCUCAAGGACCCACUCAGGAGCUGGUGGGAUGGCUCCAUGAUAAAGCAUGAGGAUCAGAGUUCAGAUCCCCCGAACCCACAUGAAACCUGGGCAGGUAUGGUGGCCAUCCAGCACUUAGAAGGCAGAAACCGGGGAUCUAGCUAGUCUGGGGCAAGUGGGCUAGCUAAACUGGCUGGAGCUGGUGAGCUCUGGGUUCACGGAGAGACUCUGUCUCUAUAAAGUGGAAAGUGACCGGUGAAGAUACCUGACAUCCGCUUUGGAUCUCCACACACAUGUACACCCACACACAUACGCAUGCAUGCAUACCACAUACACACAUGAGGAGGGGUGCCUAACUAGAUAUUUUUAUUAUUAUUUUCUUCUAUCUGAGGUAAGGUCUCAUGUAUCCCAAACUGGUGCUGAAUUCACUAUGAAGGUGAGGGUGGCCUUGAACUUCUGAUCUUCCUGCUUUCACCUCUCAGAUGCUGUAUUUACAGGCAUGAGCCAACACCCACCAAGUCCAAUUUUGAUUUUUUUUAUUAAAUUGCAUUAAUUAUUAGUGUCUGGGGGAGGGUAUCACACCUCCCACGCCAUGGCUGAGGACAACUUUUGGGAAGCUGGUUCUCUCCUUUGGUUCCAGGGACCAAGCUCAGGUAAUACCCACUGAGACAUCCCCACCAAAAUGCUCUCCACCCACUUUGAGAUCAGGUCCGUCUGUGAGAUCCAAGCUAACCUCAAACCCAGGAUCCUUCUGCCCCUGUGCCUUACCUUAUUUUAUUUUAUAUUUUUGAGAUGGAAUCUUGCUUUGUUGUCCUUGCGACUUUCAAACCCCUAGACUCAAGUAAUCAUCCUGCCUCAGCCAAUGAGUAGCUGGGACUGACUCAUCCAGGUCCUGGGAAGUCCAUCAUCCCACACAGCAUCGACCACGCCCUCCUUGUAUGCCAUGAGCUGAGUCUAGGGGAUAGGGCAGUGAACAGAAGAGCUCUGUCCUAUGCUAGGAACACAAUCCAGCAGAAUGACUUAGAGCCAGCAGCCGGGCAGGGGGUUGCCUUGGCUCCCCAGUAGAGGACCUAGUGUGGCAAAGGCCUGGGUACGGAAUAGAAAUGAGGAAGCCUGGGCCCCUGAGCUCAGUGUACCUGGCUCUAGAGUACUGCUGAUUCAAAGGAGAAGUCAGAGCUGCUGACCUUCCAAACUGCUCCAUCUACCCAGGUGACUUUCGGACCCUGCCUGAUGCUCUCAGUCAGGGAUGCCAGCCCGUCUGGAGUUCCCUUGUCCUAGGUGGUUUCCAGCCCCACCCACUUUCCUGGAGCCCAGUUCAUGACUCUUGCCAGGCGUGCCCCAGUGUCACUCUGAGUAACCCCAAGGACCAGGGUGACCUCACAGCUCUUGAUUCAGAUUUAGUCACUUUACUUCCUGCUCUGGCAUCUGGGGGAGUGGCAGGUCCCCAUCAUGACUUCCUCUGUUGAACUGGCUCUAUGUCACACAGGGGAAAUGGUGGAGACCUAGAAGGGGACCCCUAGCCACUCAGAUGAAUUCACUCUGACAGCUCAGUAAUGAUCCUGACACUCCCCAUUUCUAGUAGAAAAAGAGCCUGACCCGGGGAGGACAGCAGGUCCUCACCCAUCAUUCCACAGACUUCAUGACAUGCCUUUCUUUUUCUUCCCUUUCCACAGGAGAAAACUGACCUCAAAGAAAUGAUUUUUUUUUUAAGUGCUGAAAAUCCAACCUAAGAUCUCAUGCACGAAAAACAAGCCCCGUCUAUUAAGUUGGACCCCCCCACUCAAACUUGGCUUCUUCAAGGCCAUAUGGCAAGAAGUUGACAGAGGUGGAACUGGAACCCGGGGACCUAACUUUGAAAUUAUUUAAUAAGUACUGCACACCUAACCUCCUGGGUCAGGAAGUGGAGAGGGAGGACUCCCUGCCCACAGAGCCCAAGCCCAUUCAGGUCCAGCCUGUACCCCUGCUCCUUUGCUUUGGGCUGGCCUUAGACGGGACCCACAUUUCAGAGCACUCACUCUCUGUUCUACACAAGAGGCUCAGGGUUGUCAUUUCCUUAGUAGACAGGACCUUAAGUUGUGGGGGAAGCCAGCAGGCUUCUCCUGAUGAGAACCAGACUUGUGCUGUCCGAUGGGAUUGUGGGAUUCUGUCUGUCUCUUCAAAAACCCUUCCUUCCACAACUGGUCCCUGUUCUGUCAGGAUCCCCCCACCACACACACACACACACACACACACACACACACACACACACACACCAGGAUUCCUUCCCUCUUCCUGCACGCCAGCCUUCAUCUCCCACUCAUCAGCCCCUUCUCUGGGUAAGACUGUAUAGUUCUAUGCUAGCCACACACCCACAGUUGUGGAGCACUUGAUAUGAGAGUCAGCUGAGACUCUGAAUUUUACACUUAAUUUAGUUUAAAUUAACUCACAUGUAAG